GUAAAUUUUUAGUGGUUAGCCAGGGUUGAGAAUCAGUGCCCGAGGCCAGUGUUACUUGAGGUGGGCGCCAUGAGCUCGCUGACACCGGAGUCUCUGGAGGGCCCCAGGAGCCUGCGUUGUGAGUAACGCCCCCAGCGAGUCUCAUGCGCAGCGGUCUGGGAGCCAGUAAGUUCCGGGCGCAGGUGGUUUGGCAACUGGUGAGUUUCAGGUGCAGGUGGUUUGGGAGCCGGUGAGUCUCAGGCCCAGGCGGUUUGGGAACCGGUGAGUCUCAAAUGCAGGCGGUUUGGGAACCGGUGAGUCUCAGGCGCAGGCGGUUUGGGAAC
rnacentral:lncRNA from 1 species